GACGGGGGAUGCAAGCGUUAUCCGGAAUGAUUGGGCGUAAAGGGUCCGCAGGUGGCCCGGUCAGUCCGCUGUCAAAGCCUGGGGCUCAACCCUGGAGAGGCGGCGGAGACCACCGGGCUUGAGUCCGGUAGGGGCAGAGGGAAUUCCCGGUGUAGCGGUGAAAUGCGCAGAUAUCGGGAGGAACGACCGGUGGCGAAGGCGGUUCUCUGGGCCU
rnacentral:rRNA from 1 species